AGUCUCUCUCUAGUCAUGGUUUUAAAAGUUUUGAAAUCUCACAGUAUCAACUUUGCUGUAGCUUUCUUUUAUGCCUACUACGCUACUGCAGACACGAUCAUCUGAGCCAUCCGAUUGGCCAGAGGUAGGCCUAUAGUUCACUUAUUUGCUCUCUGGGCCCGCCAGGAAGACAGAGUUUGUACCUUCAGACAAAUUAAAUGGUUCAAAAUGGAAACAGUUCGCCUAACCGGAGCGCAGGGCAACUGAAUCGGGUGCACCUACCGCCAACAGCCCGAGACAAAUAAAAAAAAUAGUAACACAAGGCUUAUUGUUUUUUGCAAUUGACUAGGAAUACCUUGGUGAUCGACAAAUCAAUCGCGUUUGACCGGUUGGUUACCACUUCUCUAGAAAGUUGAGUGAAUUUCAAUCUCGUGCAUCUCUCUGUGGGCUGAUAUUUCUGUGCCGCAGUCCCGGGGAGCUGCGCGGAAGUCUCGGCUACUGCAAGCUCCCCGAGACUGCCGCGCAGAAAUAUCAGCCUACAGAGAGAAGCACGAGAUUGAAUUUCACUCAAGAGGGAACAUUGAUUGUAACAUGUGCUUUUCCUCUCCAGAGCUCCGUGAGAGACAGACUGGUGGGUGGCCAGUCUCCUCAAUACAAAGGAUCUUAUGGAGGCUUCAUAGUGAUUGGUUGCUUUGUGGAUGGAGUGGCUGAGGGACAGAUAGACGCACAGAUGCAGCCCAUCUCUGCAUUACGUCUACUGGUAAACAACGACUCUGACAUGUGGGUUCUGCUCAGCGAGAUAUUUAUUCAACUUUGAUAAGGGUAAUAGAGAGAAGAAACCUUGGAGGGCAUGCGGCACUCGCCUGUGACUCAACAACUGGAACAGUGACCUAUAUUGGACAUGGACAGUCAAUGCAGUUCCUCCAAGAGCCUCACCUGCUACUGUAUGGAAGCACACACACACACUCUGUGGAUGUUCUCUUUGCGCACAACAGAGAAUUGUUCAACCUUUGACUAUAAUGUGAAUCUGGAGGAGAAAGUGUGUUUUUCUGUUCCUAAAUGAGUUUGUCAAUCAACUUGAGCACUUCUACAUUUGUGGAAGACUUUAUACUGGGCACCAGUUUUCAGCUGUGGUUUUAGUCUCAGUUGUCUAGAGGGAAAACAUGAUUAACAUGUACAGGGCUAUACUAGAGUGUAAGAACGACAGUUCAGUGAUUGGAUUGAUACACUCGGUGAGUAAUGGAUGCAAUGUACUAUGUUGUGUUUGAGAACAAAUAUGGAGUGGUGCAAUUGUUUGUAUGAGUGUAUUAUUGACACUGUUUGCGCAAGUGUGUGUGUGUUCAUGUUUCUGGCCAAAAUGCUGUAGAUCAGGUUCAUUCCUCAAGUAGCUUUUCUGCCAUAGGUGCAUUUCGUUGUUAAUCUUCUGUUAUGUUUCUGGUACUGAGCUGCUAGUUUCAAUGGGGAUCACUGGAGCGCAGCCACUCCACAUGUAUAUACAGUAUGUAUGUGUUACUAUGUGCUGUAAAUAAAUAAAUAAAACAUGAAAGCAUU